GUCGCUGCGCCUGCGCGUACGCACGAAACGGAAGCACCGUGACACGGAGGAGGAGGACGGGGGGAGAAAGGAGGAGGGAGGGGGGAGGUCAUCACGUCCAAUCAGCGCCUGCCCUGAUCCUAAACCCGCCUCUGUCACAACAACAGGCGAUAAUAACAACACUAUCAGUACUAUUAUGACCUUUUAUAAAGAGUGGAAAAAAUGCUGAAUUGUGCGUUUUUCCUUACAAUGGCAGCAGCACACACUCAAAACAUCAAAUCCCGAACGGAAGAAAGCAAGCCAGAGGAUUGGCUGUCUCAGUGAACCACACAGUGGGUUUAGUUACAGCCACUAAUGGACACUUGUUGAUGUAUAGUUAACACAUGCUCCUAAUUAGAAUAAACUGAGUGAAUAAAUACACAUUUGACACA